CUCUCUCCUAAACUCUCUUCUAAACGUUCUUUAGUCUUUCACUUUAUAUUUAUGUUUAAGCAUUUAAGUAUUACAAGCAUAGUUAUCAAAGGCGUGAGGCGCAUAGGCUCCGCCAAAGGCCUAGGCGAGAAGUGCAAAAAAAGUGUAUGCCUGGAAAAAAACGCAAAUAAAUAAAAACAUAAAGAAUAAUAUUAACAAAGUAUAAAUUAGCAACAUUUGUUUGCAUAGAGAUUUUGCGAGUUAACACAACUCAAUGUGCAUGUGUGGUUCAACGUUUUUACGUCGUCUAUCUUUUCCUGGUUUGACAAGUUCGUUACUAGGGCUGGCAAAUCGUGUCGUAUCGGGUUUAACAGGUAUCUGACAACGCGUAUAACAUAAGUAUUAAAUAUGAAUACAACUCGUUUAACUACUUGAUAUCUCAUGUCUAUAACACAGUUUUAUGUUUCAUGUACUAAGAAAAAGAAAUGAUGGAUCCUAACAUCAUAAUUUUAUUUAUUUUUAAAAAAAGUAAAAAUCACAUUGUGUACUUUUUCAAUAAACAGGUCUAAUCGUGUCUUAUACAGAUAUCUAUUGCCAGCCCUAUUCGUUACAAUGAGAGCGGAAACGACUCCUGGAUACUCCGUAUCCAUUGAAACGUAUGGAUAAUCGUUGAUAAGUGAGUUGAUUAGGUCAAAUUCUAACUUUAGGUUGUGAUUCCACACAUAUCUCAUCACAAUUCGGGGUUUUUGUAAUGAAUUGCAGUUGAUCGGCAUUGGAAAGUGAAAUUGGAGUCCAGAUCUGUUUGAUUUUGAAGUGAAUUUGUGUUUGGUGAGCAAUUGUUGGGGGAAUUGAACGAUUGUAAUGGUGAUUUUGUGAUUUGGGGAUUUUGGGAAUUGGGUUCUUGGUGGUGUAUAUAAAUAUAAAGGGGGAUAAGGAUGUGUUGUACUGUGUGCAUUGGUGGUUGUACGUUUGGUUGUGUGUUUUCCUUUUUCUGCAAGUUUAUUAGUUAUUAGAUAUUAUUUCCUUAAAUAAGAUUAGUGUAUUAAAUGAUGGCAAAUCUUUAUCAACACCCCUAAUCCCAUGUGGGUCAAUCAAGAACAACAUCCUAUGCAUUCAUACGCACAGAAUCAGUAUGUACUAUAUGACCGUUUGAUUCAUGAGUUCAAAGCUUUUCUAGAAGAAAGGUUGAUGAGGAUAGAACAAGAAGCGGGUCAUGCGCUACAACAAGUAAACGCUGGUAUAAGUGGUUCGGGUUUAUCAGAUGAAGAGAUUUCUGAGCAUCUGCAAGUGUACACUGCACAAGGAAAGAUGAGUGAAGUGGAUACUUGUUGUAUUUGUUUGGGUGAAUAUGAAAAGAAGGAGAAGAUGGGGAGACUCGAAUGUGGGCAUCGGUUUCAUGCGGAAUGCAUCAAGCGUUGGUUGUUGUCUAAGAAUGUUUGCCCCAUGUGUAUGUCUACUGCAUUGACAGUAUAACUAUUAAUUUGAUUAUGAUUGGCGAUGUAAUGGUUUAAUUUGUGUUA